GGGGUGACACCAAGGCAAAAAAUUGCAAAAUAUACAGAAGAAAAAUGUUGUUUUGCCAGUCCCAUUAAUGAUUAAUUAAAGUUAAAUAGUCUUUUAAGUACAAAUUGACAAUUAUUACCAGAGGGUGGGGGUGAUACCAUGUCGUAAAGGUACUAAAGUACUAACUAUAGAGAAAACAUUGCUACAUCCAAGUUCCAACUGUAUUAUUAACAGACUAAAGAUAAACCUCGUUACUUGGGUGACACCCGAUCUAGCGAUGCCAUUGGGCCUUAGACGUAAGCACUUUAUUUAAAUUUUUACUAAUUUCAAAACUUUAAUCUUCAGGUUCUCUCAACAUGGAGACAGGAAUAAGACAGACACAGGGACAAAGAUACCAACAAUGUUCUAGAACACUGCAAUCAACUGAUUUACAACCCUCUGUAUUCAAGUGGUUAGAGUACUACCAUGUGUUUUGUGCUUAUGGGUUUAUGAUUACAGUAAAAAAUAAAACCAAGUGCUGUGAUAGGUUGAAACAAACCAGCUUCCUUUCAGGUCCAUGGGACAGAUGGAGAGAUCAUGAGUUUCUCUG